GGACAACGAUGGCUCAGUUGGUUAGAGCGUCGUGCUAAUAACGCGAAGGUCGCAGGUUCGAGACCUGCAUGGGCCA